rnacentral:rRNA from 1 species
AGUAACGCGUGAGUAACCUGCCUUUCAGAGGGGGAUAACGUUCUGAAAGGAACGCUAAUACCGCAUGAGACUACAGAGCUGCAUGGCUCAGUGGUCAAAGGAGCAAUCCGCUGAAAGAUGGACUCGCGUCCGAUUAGAUAGUAGGCGGGGUAACGGCCCACCUAGUCGACGAUCGGUAGCCGGACUGAGAGGUUGAACGGCCACAUUGGGACUGAGACACGGCCCAGACUCCUACGGGAGGCAGCAUG